rnacentral:rRNA from 1 species
UAAGCAGAGGAAAAGAANCUANNAGGAUUCCCCUAGUAACUGCGAGUGAAGCAGGAAAAGCUCAAAUUUAAAAUCUGGUGGCCUUUGGCCAUCCGAGUUGUAAUUUAGAGAAGUGUCUUCUGCGCUGGACCGUGCACAAGUCUCCUGGAACGGAGCAUCAUAGAGGGUGAGAAUCCCGUCUUUGGCACGGACAUGCUAGGGCUUUUGUGAUGCGCUCUCGAAGAGUCGAGUUGUUUGGGAAUGCAGCUCAAAAUGGGUGGUGAACUCCAUCUAAAGCUAAAUAUUGGCGAGAGACCAAUAGCGAACAAGUACCGUGAGGGAAAGAUGAAAAGCACUUUGGAAAGAGAGUGAAACAGUACGUGAAAUUGUUGAAAGGGAAACGCUUGAAGUCAGUCGCGUCGACCGAGACUCAGCCUUGCCUUGGCUUGGUGUACUUCUCGGCUGACGGGUCAGCAUCAAUUUUGCCCCUUGGAUAAUGGCAAGGGAAAUGUGACACCUUUAUGGUGUGUUAUAGUCUCUUGUCGCAUGCAAGGGUUGGGAUUGAGGAACUCAGCACGCGCCUUUGGGUGUCGGGGUUUUUGCCCACGAUACGUGCUUAGGAUGUUGGCGUAAUGGCUUUAAACAACC